rnacentral:tRNA from 1 species
UGCCGAGGUGGCGGAACUUGGUAGACGCACCAGCUUGAGGUGCUGGCGGGUGAAAGCCUAUAGGGGUUCGAGUCCCCUCCUCGGCAU